GUAGGUGGCAAGCGUUGUCCGGAAUUAUUGGGCGUAAAGCGCGCGCAGGCGGUUCGUUUAAGUCUGAUGUGAAAGACCCACGGGCUCAACCGUGGAGGGUCAUUGGAAACUGGAGAACUUGAGUACAGAAGAGGAAAGCGGAAUUCCACGUGUAGCGGUGAAAUGCGUAGAGAUGUGGAGGAACACCAGUGGCGAAGGCGGCUUUCUGGUCUGUAACUGACGCUGAGGCGCGAAAGCGUGGGGAGCAAACAGGAUUAGAUACCCUGGUAGUCCACGCCGUAAACGAUGAGUGCUAAGUGGUUAGGGGGUUUCCGCCCCUUAGUGCUGCAGCUAACGCAUUAAGCACUCCGCCUGGGGAGUACGGCCGCAAAGGCUG
rnacentral:rRNA from 1 species